rnacentral:rRNA from 1 species
GUAGGCCCGAGCGUUAUCCGGAAUCAUUGGGGCGUAAAGAGCUCGUAGGCGGUUCAGCAAGUCGGCUGUGAAAGUUCGAGGCUCAACCUCGAAAUUGCAGUCGAUACUGCUGUGACUUGAAUUCGGUAGAGGAGAAUGGAAUUCCCGGUGUAGCGGUGAAAUGCGCAGAUAUCGGGAGGAACACCAGUAGCGAAGGCGGUUCUCUGGGCCGAUAUUGACGCUGAGGAGCGAAAGCGUGGGGAGCAAACAGGAUUAGAUACCCUGGUAGUCCACGCCGUAAACGUUGGAUGCUAGGUGUGGCGGUCUACCAACGACUGCCGUGCCGAAGCUAACGCAUUAAGCAUCCCGCCUGGGGAGUACGGCCGCAAAGGCUAA